rnacentral:rRNA from 1 species
AGGGAAUAUUAGACAAUGGGCGAAAGCCUGAUCUAGCAACGCCGCGUGCACGAUGAAGGCCUUCGGGUUGUAAAGUGCUUUUCGGGAGAUGAGGAAGGACAGUAUCCCCGGAAUAAGGAUCGGCUAACUACGUGCCAGCAGCCGCGGUAACACGUAGGAUUCGAGCGUUAUCCGAAUUUACUGGGCGUAAAGCGUGUGCAGGCGGUUUGGUAAGUUGGAUGUGAAAGCUCCCGGCUCAACUGGGAGAGGCCGUUCAAAACUACCAGACUAGAGGACAGUAGAGGGAGAUGGAAUUUCCGGUGUAGUAGUGAAAUGCGUAGAUAUCGGAAGGAACACCAGUGGCGAAGGCGGUCUCCUGGACUGUAUCUGACGCUUAGACACGAAAGCUAGGGUAGCGAAUGGGAUUAGAAACCCCAGUAGUCCUAGCCGUAAACGAUGUAGACUUGGUGUCGGUGGGGUAAAAGCCAUCGGUACCGAAGCCAACGCGAUAAGUCUACCGCCUGGGGACUACGGCCGCAAGGUUA